UAUAUUUUAAUUGUCAGCUCCUCAGGAAAUAGAUGAGUAUGAGCUCGUUGAUCCUGUUCAUAUAUUGGCUCCUUUGGAGAAGUCUGGAUUUUGGGAUGGAGUGAAAGCAACCAAGUGGUCAGAACGGAAAGAGGCUGUUGCAGAGCUAACCAAGCUUGCUUCAACAAAAAGAAUAGCACCCGGUGAUUUCUCAGAAAUCUGUCGGACACUAAAAAAGCUCAUAACAGAUGUUAAUAUCGCUGUAGCAGUCGAGGCAAUUCAAGC